CUGGUCUCCAUUUGUGGGGUUUUGUACGAAAACCACAGAAGGUAUAGGAAAGCUGGUUAAUGUAGAAUGCUCCCUGUGUUCAGUAGUCUGUAACUCCCGAGCGCCAUUUGUCUAGGUGAACUGGAACUGGAACAGGCUGACGGUCCAUGGUGACGGGUGUUCGCAGGUUUGCCUGGCUGAAAUGAGGUCCAGACACUCGACGGCCAAGUCCCG